rnacentral:rRNA from 1 species
AUGUUAACAUCAUGGUUAUCUACAGAUGUAUGGGUACGCUCCGUUUAUGGUCGUCUCUAUAACGUGUGGAGUAUCGAGACCUGUUUACGGAGGUGUGUACACGAUUGGAGGCCACGACGAGGGAUACUUUUAACUGACAUGGAUGACCGCAUGAUCUUCGGAUUGGUCUUCCUACGCUUUAGGCGUUAUACAGACUCUUUGAUUAAGUGUAUUUCGCCUUUUUCUGUUGUUGUUUUUUUGGAACGUGGACUUGGUUAUGGCUAUGUGCAUCUCAAUUAUGCAGAGGCCGGGUGUAAUGCUUAA